AGAGUUUGAUCAUGGCUCAGGGUGAACGCUGGCGGUAUGCCUAAGACAUGCAAGUCGCACGGACUGUUUCGGCAGUGAGUGGCGGACGGGUGAGUAACACGUAGGUGACCUGCCCUGAAGUCUGGGACAACUAGGAGAAAUCUUAGCUAAUCCUGGAUGUGAACCUCGGUUUUGUCCGAUGUUUAAAGCUUCGGCGCUUCAGGAUGGGCCUGCGCUGGAUCAGGUAGUUGGUGGGGUAAUGGCCCACCAAGCCGACGACCCAUAGCUGGUCUGAGAGGACGACCAGCCACAGGGGUACUGAGACACGGACCCCACUCCUACGGGAGGCAGCAGUUAGGAAUCUUCCCCAAUGGGCGCAAGCCUGAGGGAGCGAUACCGCUUGAAGGACGAAGCCCCUCGGGGUGUAAACUUCUGAACUCGGGACGAUGAUGACGGUACCGAGGUAAUAGCACCGGCUAACUCCGUGCCAGCAGCCGCGGUAAUACGGAGGGUGCGAGCGUUACCCGGAUUUACUGGGUGUAAAGGGCGUGUAGGCGGUCUCUUUAGUCCGAUGCUAAAGACCGAAGCUCAACUUCGGGAGUGCGUUGGAUACUGUGAGGCUAGACGGUCGGAGAGGGUAGCGGAAUUUCCGGAGUAGCGGUGAAAUGCGCAGAUACCGGAAGGAACGCCAAUAGCGAAAGCAGCUACCUGGACGAUUUGUGACGCUGAGGCGCGAAAGCGUGGGGAGCAAACCGGAUUAGAUACCCGGGUAGUCCACGCCCUAAACGUUGAGUGCUGGGUGUCCGACAUCUGUUGGGUGCCGUAGCUAACGCGUUAAGCACUCCACCUGGGAAGUACGGUCGCAAGACUGAAACUCAAAGGAAUUGACGGGGGCCCGCACAAGCGGUGGAGCAUGUGGUUUAAUUCGAAGCAACGCGCAGAACCUUACCAGGUCUUGACAUGUAGGGAAGCCCGGUGAAAGCCAGGUGUGCCCGCAAGGGAACCCUAACACAGGUGCUGCAUGGUCGUCGUCAGCUCGUGUCGUGAGAUGUUGGGUUAAGUCCCGCAACGAGCGCAACCCUUGUUGCUAGUUGCCAUCAGUCCGGCUGGGCACUCUAGCGAGACUGCCUACGAAAGUAGGAGGAAGGCGGGGAUGACGUCUGAUCCGCAUGGCCCUUACGACCUGGGCGACACACGUGCUACAAUGCCGCGCACAGAGCGACGCUACUUCGCAAGAAGACGCAAAUCGCAUAAAUCGCGGCUCAGUUCGGAUUGGGGUCUGCAACUCGACCCCAUGAAGCUGGAAUCGCUAGUAAUCGUGAAUCAGCCACGUCACGGUGAAUACGUUCCCGGGCCUUGUACACACCGCCCGUCAAGCCAUGGAAGUGGGUUUUGCCUGAAAUCGCCGGGAGCUUGUGCCCUUAUCGGCCCGGCAGGCGCUUAGGGUAAGGCUCAUGACUGGGGCUAAGUCGUAACAAGGUAACUGUACCGGAAGGUGCGGUUGGAUCACCUCCUU
rnacentral:rRNA from 1 species